CUGCAUCCACUGAUAGACCUUGAACAAUUUGUUGUUCUUACGGUUUGCACGAGGAUGCUAAAGGAAACAUCCCUGCGCUUUCUGUCUGUCUUUAUGGCAGCCCAGAUUGAAUUGGGGAGUACACCC
ensembl:snoRNA small nucleolar RNA SNORA31